rnacentral:rRNA from 1 species
AUUGAACGCUGGCGGCAGGCCUAACACAUGCAAGUCGAGCGAGCGGCGGACGGGUGAGUAAUGUCUGGGAAACUGCCUGAUGGAGGGGGAUAACUACUGGAAACGGUAGCUAAUACCGCAUACCAUCAGAUGUGCCCAGAUGGGAUUAGCUAGUAGGUGAGGUAACGGCUUACCUAGGCGACGAUCCCUAGCUGGUCUGAGAGGAUGAUCAGCCACACUGGGACUGAGACACGGCCCAGACUCCUACGGGAGGCAGCAGUGGGUAAUAUUGCACAAUGGGCGAAAGCCUGAUGCAGCCAUGCCGCGUGGAUGAAGAAGGCCUUCGGGUUGUAAAGUACUUUCAGGCGGGAGGCGUUACCGACAGAAGAAGCACCGGCUAACUCCGUGCCAGCAGCCGCGGUAAUUC